rnacentral:rRNA from 1 species
UCGGAUCGCAGGCUGCAACCCGCCUGCGUGAAGUCGGAAUCGCUAGUAAUCGCGGAUCAGCAUGCCGCGGUGAAUACGUUCCCGGGCCUUGUACACACCGCCCGUCACACCAUGAGAGUCGGGAACACCCGAAGCCCGUAGCCUAACAGCAAUGAGGGCGCGGUCGAAGGUGGGUUCGAUAAUUGGGGUGAAGUCGUAACAAGGUACC